GUAGUUGACUCCGUGCUCGAGGACACGCUGGCGGCGUGCUUAACACAUGCAAGUCGAACGAUGAACUGGAGCUUGCUCCAGGAAUUAGUGGCGAACGGGUGAGUAACACGUGAGUAACCUGCCCUUGACUCUGGGAUAAGCGCUAGAAAUGGCGUCUAAUACCGGAUACGAGCUUCAGCCGCAUGGCUAGGAGUUGGAAAGAAUUUUGGUCAAGGAUGGACUCGCGGCCUAUCAGCUAGUUGGUGAGGUAAUGGCUCACCAAGGCGACGACGGGUAGCCGGCCUGAGAGGGUGACCGGCCACACUGGGACUGAGACACGGCCCAGACUCCUACGGGAGGCAGCAGUGGGGAAUAUUGCACAAUGGGCGAAAGCCUGAUGCAGCAACGCCGCGUGAAGGAUGACGGCCUUCGGGUUGUAAACCUCUUUUAGUAGGGAAGAAGCGAAAGUGACGGUACCUGCAGAAAAAGCACCGGCUAACUACGUG
rnacentral:rRNA from 1 species